CGGACGGGUGAGUAACGCGUGAGUAACCUGCCUUACACAAGGGGAUAGCCGUUGGAAACGACGAAUAAUACCCUGUGAAACUAUCACUUCGCAUGAAGCGAUAGUCAAAGUGUUAGCGGUGUAAGAUGGACUUGCGUCUGAUUAGCUAGUUGGUGAGAAAAAGCCCACCAAGGCAACGAUCAGUAGCCGGCUUGAGAGAGUGUACGGCCACAUUGGGACUGAGACACGGCCCAG
rnacentral:rRNA from 1 species